rnacentral:rRNA from 1 species
AUUGAACGCUGGCGGCAGGCCUAACACAUGCAAGUCGAACGAGUGGCAGACGGGUGAGUAAUGUUUGGGACUCUGCCAGAUGGCGGGGGAUAACUACGGGAAACUGUAGCUAAUACCGCAUACCAUAGGGAAAGCACAAGUGGGAGUAGGUAGUUGGUGGGGUAAUGGCUCACCCAGGCGCAGAUCCCUAGCUGGUCUGAGAGGAUGACCAGCCACACUGGAACUGAGACACGGUCCAGACUCCUACGGGAGGCAGCAGUGGGGAAUAUUGCACAAUGGGCGCAAGCCUGAUGCAGCCAUGCCGCGUGUAUGAAGAAGGCCUUCGGGUUGUAAAGUACUUUCAGUGGGGAGGCGUUACCCGCAGAAGAAGCACCGGCUAACUCCGUGCCAGCAGCCGCGGUAAUAC